rnacentral:tRNA from 1 species
UCCUUGUUGGCUCAUACUGUAAAGAAUCUGCCUGCAAUGCAGGAGACCCGGGUUUGAUCCCUGGAUUGGGAA